rnacentral:rRNA from 1 species
AGGACGAACGCUGGCGGCGUGCUUAACACAUGCAAGUCGAGCGGUGAUCCUCCUUCGGGAGGUGAUCAGCGGCGAACGGGUGAGUAACACGUGGGCAACCUGCCCCUCACACUGGGAUAACCUCGGGAAACCGGGCUAAUACCGGAUACGACCUCGAGCGGCAUCUCUUGAGGUGGAAAGCUCCGACGGUGAGGGAUGGGCCCGCGGCCUAUCAGCUUGUUGGUGGGGUAAUGGCCUACCAAGGCGACGACGGGGUA